rnacentral:rRNA from 1 species
GGCGCUAGCUGCAGUGGAGCCAUCCUUGAAAUACCACCCUGAUGUGCUUGACGUUCUAACCUGGGCCCGUAAUCCGGGUCGGGGACCGUGUAUGGUGGGUAGUUUGACUGGGGCGGUCUCCUCCUAAAGAGUAACGGAGGAGCUCGAAGGUACGCUCAGCGCGGUCGGACAUCGCGCACUGUGUGCAAAGGCAUAAGCGUGCUUGACUGCAAGAUCGACGGAUCAAGCAGGUAGGAAACUAGGACUUAGUGAUCCGGUGGUUCUGUAUGGAAGGGCCAUCGCUCAACGGAUAAAAGGUACUCCGGGGAUAACAGGCUGAUACCGCCCAAGAGUUCAUAUCGACGGCGGUGUUUGGCACCUCGAUGUCGGCUCAUCACAUCCUGGGGCUGUAGUCGGUCCCAAGGGUAUGGCUGUUCGCCAUUUAAAGUGGUACGCGAGCUGGGUUCAGAACGUCGUGAGACAGUUCGGUCCCUAUCUGCCAUGGGCGUUGGAGAUUUGAGAGGGGCUGCUCCUAGUACGAGAGGACCGGAGUGGACGAACCUCUGGUGUUCCGGUUGUCACGCCAGUGGCAUUGCCGGGUAGCUAUGUUCGGAAGCGAUAACCGCUGAAAGCAUCUAAGCGGGAAGCGCGCCUCAAGAUGAGAUCUCCCGGGGCACAAGCCCCCUGAAGGAACCAUCAAGACUAGGUGGUUGAUAGGUCAGGUGUGUAAGUACAGCAAUGUAUUGAGCUAACUGAUACUAAUGAUCCGUGUGGCUUGACCAUAUAACCUCA